rnacentral:rRNA from 1 species
CGCGUAGGGCGCAAGCGUUGUCCGGAAUUAUUGGGCGUAAAGAGCUCGUAGGCGGUUUGUUGUGUCGGCUGUGAAAUCCCGAGGCUCAACCUCGGGUCUGCAGUCGAUACGAGCAAACUAGAGUGUUGCAGGGGAGACUGGAAUUCCUGGUGUAGCGGUGAAAUGCGCAGAUAUCAGGAGGAACACCGGUGGCGAAGGCGGGUCUCUGGGCAACAACUGACGCUGAGGAGCGAAAGCGUGGGGAGCGAACAGG